rnacentral:rRNA from 1 species
CCCUCGCGCCCUAUCCACUUGUGGUGAGUGUAAUCAGAGCUCAGCCUAGUCGAUCGUCGUGUAGCUGUCCUGAUCGGGCGACCUGGCCGGCACUGGGACUGAUACACGGCCCCGACUCCUACGGGAGGCAGCAGUGGGGAAUAUUGCACAAUGGGCGAAAGCCUGAUGCAGCGACGCCGCGUGAGGGAUGACGGCCUUCGGGUUGUAAACCUCUUUCAGCAGGGAAGAAGCGAAAGUGACGGUACCUGCAGAAGAAGCGCCGGCUAACUACGUGCCAGCAGCCGCGGUAAUACGUAGGGCGCAAGCGUUGUCCGGAAUUAUUGGGCGUAAAGAGCUCGUAGGCGGUCUGUCGCGUCGGAUGUGAAAGCCCGGGGCUUAACCCCGGGUCUGCAUUCGAUACGGGCAGACUAGAGUGUGGUAGGGGAGAUCGGAAUUCCUGGUGUAGCGGUGAAAUGCGCAGAUAUCAGGAGGAACACCGGUGGCGAAGGCGGAUCUCUGGGCCAUUACUGACGCUGAGGAGCGAAAGCGUGGGGAGCGAACAGGAUUAGAUACCCUGGUAGUCCACGCCGUAAACGGUGGGAACUAGGUGUUGGCGACAUUCCACGUCGUCGGUGCCGCAGCUAACGCAUUAACGGUUCUUUGCCUAGGGGGAGUACGG